GCCGAACGCUUUCUUCGUGCUUAACACAUGCAAGUCGAACGGGCCUGUCUUCUUUUUUGGGGGUGGGUUGGGUGGCGACCGGGUGAGUAUCACGUGAGUAACCUGCCCUUCGGUCCUGGAUAACCGCUUGAAAGGGCGGCUAAUACGGGGUGGUCCGGUUGGUCCGCAUGGGCUGGUCGGGAUAGAUUCACUGUUUUUGGUGUUUCGGCGGGGGAUGGGCUCGCGGCCUAUCCGCUUGUUGGUGGGGUGAUGGCCUACCAAGGCGGUGACGGGUAGCCGGCCGGAGAGGGUGGGCGGCCACACUGGGACUGAGAUACGGCCCAGACUCCUGCGGGAGGCAGCAGUGGGGGGUAGUGCACAAUGGGCGGAAGCCUGAUGCAGCGACGUCGCGUGAGGGAUGGAGGCCUUCGGGUUGUGAACCUCUGUUUCCGGUGGUGAAGGCCCUGUCCGUGUGGUGGGGUUGACGGUAGCCGGGGAUGAAGCGCGGGCUAACUACGUG
rnacentral:rRNA from 1 species